AAGGCAGGAAACAUAUGCAGCAAUAAAAAAGAUGCUCGCCACUCUGAAUGACCCUUUCACCCGUUUUCUGGAGCCUGAAAAGUUCAAAAGUUUGCGGUCGGGAACUCAAAAUGCACUUACUGGAGUAGGGUUGUCAAUUGGCUAUCCAUUGGGGAAAAAUGAAUCGGCCUCUGGACUGGUCGUUAUCUCAGCUUCUCCAGGAGGUCCUGCAAAUAGGGCUGGCAUCUCAUCUGGUGAUAUCAUCCUACAAAUUGACAAUACCAGCACAGAAAACAUGGGUAUAUAUGAU
rnacentral:misc_RNA from 1 species